GACGGAGGGUGCUAGCGUUGUUCGGAAUCACUGGGCGUAAAGGGCGCGUAGGCGGCCUCAGGUGUCGGAUGUGAAAGCCCGGGGCUCAACCCCGGAGGUGCAUCCGAAACUCUGGGGCUGGAGGUCGGAAGAGGAGGGUGGAAUACCCAGUGUAGAGGUGAAAUUCGUAGAUAUUGGGUGGAACACCGGUGGCGAAAGCGGCUCUCUGGUCCGGACCUGACGCUGAGGCGCGAAAGCGUGGGGAUCAAACAGG
rnacentral:rRNA from 1 species